CUCUUCAUGUAAUCUUGGAGGACAGAAAACUGAAAAACUCUCUGAUAGAGCUGGACCUCAGUAACAAUGGCCUGCAGGAUUCAGGAGUGGAGCUGCUCUCUGCUGGACUGAAGAGUUCACACUGUAAACUGCAGAUUCUCAGAAUUUUUUCAGACUCUCUUCAUGUAAUCUUGGAGGACAAAUGUGUGAAAACGGAAAAACUCUCUGAUAGAGCUGGACCUCAGUAGUAAUGACCUGCAGGAUUCAGGAGUGGAGCUGCUCUCUGCUGGACUGAAGAGUUCACACUGUAAACUGCAGAUUCUCAGCAGCACACUUCUGGGGGUACGAUUUGGAAGGGAAAAGCUGGGGGCCUGAUCUAAACAGCACCGGCCCCUGAGGACUGUCGGCCCACCGGGAAAAUGCCCGGUACGCCAGAUUACCAGUCCAGCCCUGGGUGAUGGUCUUGAGCUGCUGGACAACUUGCUUUAAUAGAUGCAAUAGGCAUACUUGGGUGUACAUGGGUUCUGCAGCAGGACAAUGACUCAACAAUAUUCAGGUGAUAUUUGUCUGAUAUUAAAGUUUGUUUGUUAAUCUGAAAAAUUGUACGCAUGAAAAAAGCAAAAACACAAGAAAUCUGGGUAAAUACUUUUAACAUCUGUAUUUUUCUUUUUACUCUUCCUUAUAAGCUCCUCCCACUCAUAUCACCUGCUCUAUCCAGCCCAGAGCAGGGCAGAGUCUCGGCUCUGGGGAAGAUCCUACAGGAACCCUGAUUAGAAUAAACUGCUGUGGAAUACAGAUCUGUGUAAUUAUGUUGUGUAUAGGGCUCAGAUAUGUUGGAUACUCCUGCCACCUGCUGGACAAAUCUGAUUAUAGUAACAUUUUUAAGAGCUGCAGGAGACGGAUUUAAUACAUAUUAAUUCACAUUUUAAGAAGUAAGAUCUUGUUUUUAGUUAAAUGAAUUUAAGUCUUUUUUUUCCUGCAGAUUCCCUAAUAUUCAUGCAGUGAGUUUUUUUUUUUCUCUACUGACAGAUUAAGAUGUUUGGAUGUUUUUUUAAUGAUGAUUUAAUGUGAGAUGUGCAGUAAAAUCACUCGUAUCUGUCGGGCUUUUCUUUGUUUCAGGAGAAUCUCUUCCCAAUUCAUCCAGGAUCCAGGAUGUAUUCUUAAAGUU